UACGUAGGGAGCUAGCGUUAUUCGGAAUUACUGGGCGUAAAGCGCACGUAGGCGGCUUUGUAAGUUAGAGGUGAAAGCCUGAAGCUUAACUUCAGAAUUGCCUUUAAGACUGCAUCGCUUGAAUCCAGGAGAGGUGAGUGGAAUUCCGAGUGUAGAGGUGAAAUUCGUAGAUAUUCGGAAGAACACCAGUGGCGAAGGCGGCUCACUGGACUGGUAUUGACGCUGAGGCGCGAAAGCCAGGGGAGCAAACGGG
rnacentral:rRNA from 1 species